rnacentral:rRNA from 1 species
GUGUCAGCCGCCGCGGUAAUACGUAGGGGGCGAGCGUUAUCCGGAAUUACUGGGUGUAAAGGGAGCGUAGGCGGGAUAGCAAGUCAGAUGUGAAAACUAUGGGCUCAACCUGUAGAUUGCAUUUGAAACUGUUGUUCUUGAGUGAAGUAGAGGUAAGCGGAAUUCCUAGUGUAGCGGUGAAAUGCGUAGAUAUUAGGAGGAACAUCGGUGGCGAAGGCGGCUUACUGGGCUUUUACUGACGCUGAGGCUCGAAAGCGUGGGGAGCAAACAGGAUUAGAUACCCUGGUAGUCCACGCUGUAAACGAUGAUUACUAGGUGUGGGGGGACUGACCCCUUCCGUGCCGCAGUUAACACAAUAAGUAAUCCACCUGGGGAGUACGACCGCAAGGUUGAAACUCAAAGGAAUUGACGG